AUGCCGGACUCAACACAAUGGAGGUUAAUUAAAAAUGAGAUAUUUACGGUGAAAUCUUUUUAUACGGAUCUGAUCAAUUCUGCUCCCCUCUCAAGGUCACUACAUAUAUGGAAGGUUAAGGUUCCUUUGCGGAUUAAAUUUUUUAUGUGGUUUGUCCACAAGCAAGUAAUACUCACAAAGGACAACUUACUUAAGAGGCGAUGGGUAAGCAAUUCGCGGUGUUGUUUUUGUGCUCAAGAUGAGACAAUACAACAUUUAUUCCUUGAAUGCCCACUUGCCAAGUUACUUUGGAGAACCGUUCAUAUAGCUUUUAAUAUCAACCCUCCAGUAGAUAUUGUGUCUUUAAUGACAAAAUCUCUUCUCCUAUGCAGGUUAUUUACUGUUGUACGCACUGACUUUGUAUGUGGUCUACUCUGCAACGAACGGAGUACCAAUCGCUGUUCAAGGCGGUGUGUAUGCGGUUGGAGCGGGUGGCCAGGGAGGUUUUUACCCAACAUGGGUGGCAGCAUAAUUUCCGAAUCGAUCCACCUUCUCCGUCGACAUAGGCAUAGUUUCGGCCCCAUAUGGCUUUACUGUUGCCACUUUGUCGUUUUUAUAUUUUUUUUGUCAGACUGUUUGUUUCAUGGCUGUGUGCAUCUUAGCUAUGCAGAGGCCGAGUGUCGCUCUUUAUGUUUUGUAUCCUCUCGAUGCUACAUUUUGAGUUAA
rnacentral:rRNA from 1 species